rnacentral:rRNA from 1 species
AGCAGCCGCGGUAAUUCCAGCUCCAAUAGCGUAUAUUAAAGUUGUUGCAGUUAAAAAGCUCGUAGUUGAAUUUCGGGGUCAGUAGGUCGGUCGUGCCACUGGUAUGAACUGGUUUUACUGAUUCCUCCCUCUUGAAGAACUGUAAUGCCAUUAAUUUGGUGUUGCAGGGAAUCAGGACUGUUACUUUGAAAAAAUUAGAGUGUUUAAAGCAGGCUUUAGCUUGAAUCAUUAGCAUGGAAUAAUGAAAUAGGACGUUUGAUCCUAUUUUGUUGGUUUCUAGGAUUGACGUAAUGAUUAAUAGGGAUAGUUGGGGGCAUUAGUAUUCAAUUGUCAGAGGUGAAAUUCUUGGAUUUAUUGAAGACUAACUACUGCGAAAGCAUUUUGCCAAGGAUGUUUUCAUUAAUCAAGAACGAAAGUUAGGGGAUCGAAGACGAUCAGAUACCGUCGUAGUCUUAACCAUAAACUAUGCCGACUAGGGAUCGGAUGAUGUUAAUUUUUUAAUGACUCAUUCGGCGCCUUA